CUCCUUUCUAGAGAAAAGAUGCUGGAGCUAUAGUGCCCACACUUAUCGGUUGACAAUAAAAGCCACGGGUCUGUAGCUCAGCUGGUUAGAGCACUGUGUUGAUAACGCAGGGGUCGUAGGUUCAAGUCCUACCAGACCCACCAUCAGCAGCAGUGAUAUGGACUUAGUGGACGUUGGGGGAUUAGCUCAGCUGGGAGAGCACCUGCUUUGCAAGCAGGGGGUCGUCGGUUCGAUCCCGUCAUCCUCCACCAACAUCUAAAUGUCAAAACUAAGCGAUUUAACGAUUGUUUAGUUUUGCCAUUUAUGGCUGUUCUUUAAAAAUUUGAGUAAGCAAAGUGUCAAAUGUUUUUUUGAGAGGACAUUUGACAAUGUAAUAAGGGUAAAGAUUGAAUCAUCAAUCAGUAAUAUCAAACGAGUUUUACAAAGUUCUUAACAAGUACUUACAGUUUGGAUUACGGCAAACAUGUCAGAAGUAGAAGUAAAAACCUAUAACGGUUACUAGCAAUGGUGCUCGUUA
rnacentral:tRNA from 1 species